rnacentral:tRNA from 1 species
CAUUAGGUGGCUGAAAGUUAAGCGAUGGAAUUUUAAACCAUAAUAUAAUAUCCUACAAAUAUUUCUAAUG